UGGGGAAUUUUCCGCAAUGGGCGCAAGCCUGACGGAGCAGUACCGCGUGAGGGAGGAAGGCUUUUGGGUUGUAAACCUCUUUUCUCAAGGAAGAAGCACUGACGGUACUUGAGGAAUCAGCAUCGGCUAACUCCGUGCCAGCAGCCGCGGUAAUACGGAGGAUGCAAGCGUUAUCCGGAAUUAUUGGGCGUAAAGCGUCCGCAGGUGGUACAUCAAGUCUGCUGUCAAAGACUAGGGCUUAACCCUGGAGAGGCAGUGGAAACUGAUGAACUAGAGUACGGUAGGGGUAGAGGGAAUUCCCAGUGUAGCGGUGAAAUGCGUAGAGAUUGGGAAGAACACCAGUGGCGAAGGCGCUCUACUGGAUCCUGUACUGACACUCAGGGACGAAAGCUAGGGGAGCGAAAGGGAUUAGAUACCCCUGUAGUC
rnacentral:rRNA from 1 species